rnacentral:tRNA from 1 species
GCCCGGAUAGCUCAGUUGGUAGAGCAGAGGACUGAAAAUCCUUGUGUCGGUGGUUCAAUACCUCCUCCGGGCA